rnacentral:rRNA from 1 species
GAUGAACGCUGGCGGUAGGCCUAACACAUGCAAGUCGAACGGAAGGACAGUAAGAGCGUGCUCUUACGGGUGGCGAAAGGCGGACGGGUGAGGAGUACAUCGGAAUCUACUUUUUCGUGGAAGAUCACGUAGGUAGACUUAAGCUAAUACCGCAUAUGAUCCACGGUGGAAAGCAUGGGAUAUUCGCACCUUGCGCGAAUGAAUGAGCCGAUGAGGGGCUAGCUAGUUGGGCGGGUAAAGACCCACCAAGGCGAGGAUUCGUAGCUGGUCUGAGAGGAUGGUCGGCCACAUGGGAACUGAGACAGGGUCCAUACUACUACGGGAGGCAGCAGUGGGGAAUGUUAGGCAAUGGGCGGAAGCCUGACCCAGUGAUACCGAGUGUGUGAAGGAGGCCUUCGGGUUGUAAAGCCCUUUUGUUGGGAAAGAACAGCUGCAGGUUAAGACCACGCUGUUGUGACGGUACCCAAUGAAGAAGCACCGGCUAACUACGUG